AUGGAGGAGCGUCAGUAGGACCAGUUUCUUUUUGUGUUUGGUAAAAGUCCACAAGAUAUUCCUCCAUUAGCGCGAGAUGCUUGUGUUUCUUUCAGAGGUUGGACCAAGUCAGUGUUUUGUUUUCAGAAGGCGCGGUGGGCAGCGCGCUGCAGCGGUCCUCUGCAUCUGCUGUUUUCAUCAAAGUUUGGGAGACGGAGACCUCAUUCUAAGCUAAUUUUUACUUCUUCCGGUCGGCUAACGGUAGCUAGCUACAAGCUAACAUGUUUAGCAUGUUGAAGUCAAUCUGGAGCUCCUUUUUGAGAACCAGCUGUUCAGGUGGAAGAACCUGUUCAUGGAAGAACUGUACUUCGUACUCUUCACCAUCCUGACAUGAUUGUGACCCGUUCAGAGUCCGUACUUCAGGCUCAAUGGCCGCUGGAUCCUGGGAUGACACGCAGCGACGUAAUAGACCGAGUUGGGUCAAGACACAGGAGUCAAAAAAAGAUGGCCUCCCUGUUGUCAUGCUCACAGCGAAUUAAUUAAAGCGUCAAGGUUCAUGCCUCAACAAAAGUGGCUGCUAAAGCGCUAAUUUAUGUUACAGCUUUGCAUUUUAAAGAGUUAAUCUUUCCUUGGACCUUAAAUGAAAGUUGGCUUUGUUCUUUGUGGCAUUGAUUCAAUGUUCCUCUGGGAUUUUGGUUGGUAUCGACUUGGCAACAUGAUGCAUUUUUAUGUACUACAAUUUGUUUGUUCCUCCACAUCCUGGCUAAAAUUGCUCCACUGGACUUAAUGAUUUAGAGCAGUCUUUCUCAAACUGUGGUCCACUGGCACCCCCUAGUGGUGUGCGAGGUACUGCAGUGGGUUCACUCUACUGACUCAGUAUACUUCAUUAUGCCUGGAUAGAAUAUUAUAUUUUUUCUACUUAAGUAAAAAUUGACAUACUCUUUGGUUUCUUUAGACUGGUCUAUAAGUAGAUAGUUCUGACGUAUUUGGCGAUCCUCUCAAAUUAUAAAUGUUAUUUAAUAAAUAUUUUUUAUAUACUUUUAUGUAUUUUAAUCAAAUUUUUUCCCCGUCUAAAACUGUUAAGUUUAACAGUUUUGCCACAAAAGCAAAAAACAAAAAAGUUAUUUAUGUCUCUCUAACUUUACCUGUUUGUGGAAAUUCAUCAAUAAACAUCUUGAAAAACU